rnacentral:antisense_RNA from 1 species
GAUAGCCAAAGAUAGCACCUGGAUUCAGUGUCGGAUUUGUAAUUACCCUGACAUUUUCAAUGUUUGGAUCGUACAAACCACCAAAGUACAUUGCUUUAGCAACUAACAAAAAUGCACCACAACCGAGUAACACCAAGUGAAUACCAAGGAUUGUGGUCAUUUUGUCGGUAUCCUUCCA